rnacentral:lncRNA from 1 species
UUAUUCAGUGAGGGAUUGGACUAGCUGGUCCUUGAGGACUUUUCAGAAAGUCUGGUUCUGGGAGAUGACCAAUGGGAUCAUCUUAUGCUAUGAGCUUUCCUGGAAUGACAGGUAAUGGAGAGUGAGGAGAUUUUACCUGAUAUGGUCCUGUUUGCACCAUCAGCCAGCAACCUUUCUGGGAAGCGUGCUUAUUAUGUACCAACAUAAAAGCUUGAAUAUAAGGUAUGCAGUCCCAAUUUCCUGAUCUCAGAUUGAAAUGUUCAAGCUGUAUAACAUUAAAUUCAAAGAACCAUGUAAUGGCCACCUAUCUUCCUCAUGUAUCACGUACAUUGACCACACCUUAUUGCAGUAGAUUAUCUUUUUUGUCGUAGGGUUAUCACUGUAGGCUUACCAGUCAGCCAAUAUGAACCACAGUGGGCUCUGAGAGGGGACUGAUGAAAAAAACUUCCCAUGGUGGACACAAACAAAACACAACCAAAACAAAUGAAGCACUUUUCCAACCCAGGCUUUCACAAAGGAAGAGACUGGUAUGGAGUCACUAUGAGUCAUUUCUUCUACCAGUGGUACCACAAAUGGUCCAAAGGCCCAAAUGGUAAAGAAAGUGGACUACUACUUUGCACCCCAAGUGCUGGGAUUACAGGCAUGAGCCACUGUGCCUGGCCAUGUACUGUUCCAGUUUUAUCCAAUAGUGCAUACAAUUUAGAAGCAGUGAAAAACAUUCUGAUUAUGACCGACUUCAAAGAUGUAAUGUCAGUCCAUUCUGGCCAAUGUGGAAACAGGUUCUAUGGUCUUUCCAUAUCUUUCAGUGUUCUCAGAACCAAGUUUCAAUAGCCUUAAUAUUUCAUUACUUU